rnacentral:rRNA from 1 species
CAGCCGCCGCGGUAAUACGUAGGGUGCAAGCGUUAAUCGGAAUUACUGGGCGUAAAGCGUGCGCAGGCGGUUCUAUAAGACAGAUGUGAAAUCCCCGGGCUCAACCUGGGAACUGCAUUUGUGACCGUAGAGCUGGAGUGCGGUAGAGGGGGAUGGAAUUCCGCGUGUAGCAGUGAAAUGCAUAGAUAUGCGGAGGAACACCGAUGGCGAAGGCAAUCCCCUGGGCCUGCACUGACGCUCAUGCACGAAAGCGUGGGGAGCAAACAGGAUUAGAUACCCCCGUAGUCCCUGUCUCUUAUAC